AUUCCCAGUCUCCCUCAGUCCCUCCCCUCCAGCCGGCUCUCUCAUCCUCCCCCUCCGCCACCCUCGGGCUCCGGCUCUCCCCUCCGCUUCCGGCCAUCUCGGCCUCUCCUCCGCCUCCGGCCUCCGCGGACCACCCUGUAGGUUGUAGAAGAGGAGGAGUACGCAUUGCCUAGCAAGCCUCCAGCUUCAAGCGAUUGACGGCGAUCUGGAUUCCGUCUGGAUUAGAGCAGUGCAGCAGGAAGAGGAUCAGGGGGUGGGGGUGGUCCAGGCCAUGGGGGCGGGGAGGUCGGACGGGGAGAGGAGAGAUAGCCCUAAGGACGAGGUCCUCGCCGGCUGAAUCGAAUCGAGAAUUCGUCAGCUCCUCCCACCCCUGCGGUCACAUCUCUCUCGGAGAUCCUCUUCAACCCGGAGUUCCUCGUGGAGGGCACCCGCUCACCCCGGCGUGUGGAGAGGAGGUAGGCCGCCCCUCCUUGCGGGCGUCGCUGGAGGAGACAGGGCGCGCGGGAACAUCGGAUGUGGAACAACUGCUGCCAUGGUCCUCAUCCGGCCUUAAUUUCAAGAUACGGUGUAGGUGUAGUGGACUAGGAUGGGAAGGGAGGAGGCCGUGGCCAAGGAGGAAGAGCAGCGGGGCGAUGGGGACCUGCAAUGUGGGAACGAAGGUGUGCACUGGUCGACACCCCAUCGUGGGGAAGACAAGAGGUGUAGGUUCCGAUCUGAUCCUGUGACUAGAAGUAGCCGGGAGCUGCAAGGGCAAGUCAAAGAUGAGUGUGGUUCGGUUCAGUUUAGGCAACAAGAGCUGCAUUGUGAUCAUGGCACGGUAACUUGUCGUCGACAUGGUUCUCAGUGAGUAAUCCAUAUGGGAGACCCCUGCCAUUGUCUUCUUUAGUGACAAGCAGUGGUUCAUCGGCACUGCAAGCACUGCGAACUCCAGCAUGAACCCAAAGACUUUAAGUUUCUUUUAAGUUCUAUUCUAAUAGUACAUGUCUAGAUUUCAUCUAUCAUGCAUGUCACCGACCACAACAUCCCAACUGAGCUCAUCGACCAGCUGCGCAACGCCGGCACUACCAAGAACAAGGAGGUGUAUGCUAAACAAUUCAUCACAUCUCCUGUUGUUGAACUGCCUAUUAUGCAAAUUAUUGGCAUGUUUUCUUGUGGGUUUGUUUUGCCUCAAUGGUACUAUUCUUCUGGAAGAUUUUGUUUCAAGUUUGCAGUUCGAUUUACAAACAUGAAGAUAUAAGGAUGGGAGAUCAACAUAUUCAUGUUUUCUCUGGUAAAUGUGAAGUUCCGGUCUAUCAAAAAAGCGGCUAAUGUCUAGCAAUCUGCAGCAAGAACUUUAUCCACUCAUCUGGUCCAACUUACACCCAUGGAAUUCCCCAUCCACAUCUCUCUGUUCGUGAAAGCAAUUGCUGGAUUUGUAUGCAUUGCAGCAGUCAGCCAGAGGCUUCCAGUUUUUCCUCCAUCUGAAGCCUAGCGCUUAGAGAUCUUGUCCUCUGCAUUACCUGGUAUUUCAUUUGUUUUAGUCAUUCAGUUGACUAAAAUCAGCUCAGCUCUUCUUUCGUUUGGAAAGAUAUAUUCUGAAGCAAAAUAAUGUCCGAACAACCUGAGCUUAGACAUACAUCAAUUUUGGUGUCCUAAUCGGGGAAUUAUGAAGACAGGCAUACGUGGAAAUGUCUGCUAAUAUGGUAAAUAUAAUGUUAAAGGAUGGAAGAUUUCCAUGUGAAGCUAGAUACAACGCUCUGUUGUAUACAUGAUAUAUAUAUUGAAGGAAUUUGACCAGUCGCUUGAUUUUCUUGCUGAGAUGCAGUGGGAAAGUUAAAACCAAGCAAGAUGUCCUGUGAUAUGCACGAGUGACCUUUGGUGCCAUGGGAAGAAAAGUUAUGCCAAGAAGAUUUCGGAGAUGCUAUUGACCUUUGGUUCUGUACCGUCCUUUGGCAUGUAUAGAACUGUUUCUGAUAACUACUGUAGGUCCAACCUGGAAGCUGCAGAACUUUUGCUUCACGUGCAGCAAGAAGGACAUGUACCCCACUUUGAGAUGCAAUGGUCUGUGAUAAGCAAUUUAUAAGCAGUACUAAUAGGAAGACUGAAGGACAUGAACAAUCUCUAUUUCCAGUCAUGUGCAUGGAUCUCAAGCAAUAAAAAUGGGUGGUGGAGAUAGGGUACAAUGGUUGUUGGAGGGGCUCCUGAUGUAUGGCGGUUGGAGUUGACAAAGAUCUGGCCUCCUCGUCACCGGGCGACAGCCUAGAUGUUGCAGAUGACCUUCCAUCACACUUUAGUUUGACCUGAACUGCCUCAGGGGCAGCCACCAGUGCAUUUUCACAGACCUUCUCUCCACUAAUUGCAUACGGUUGUUAAGGACGCCAAAAAAGUACAUAUUCCACCUUUUCAACCUAUAUUUUUAAUAACCAGUUGUUCGACCCACGCUUUAUAUAUACAUGCGAUGAUUGAUUUUAUCUUCUAUCAAAUACUUGAUAAACUGCAACAUCUUGAAUCCAAAUGUAUUUUUACUUGAA